ACUCUCCGCGUUUCCUUUAUUUUUCCAAAUUCACCAUUUCAAUUUUCACCAACCCUCAUUUUACCCCUGAAUACACCUCGCAUACUUCAACCCUCCUUUUCCAUCGCCGCCGCGCCGCCGUCGCUCUGCUGCUGCCGUCGCUCCGCUGCUGCUGUCGCUUCGUCUCUCCUCUGAUGAUGUCCACAAAGAAUCAGAGGAGUUUCGGACAUUGAUUCCUAAAGGCUUUGAAGUAAUUGGAGCGCUUGCUUACGGAGCCGGCGCCGACACUCAAGCGGCAGUUCAUGCUGCUCGCAGACUAAGAAAGCUUCUAUACGUUGAAGAGGAAGGGGAUAAUCGACUGGUGAUCGGAGCAGUCGCCGCCGGUUCCGGCGAGCUGAAAUUUUUCGUGUCGGAGAGUGGAAAAUCGAAUAGCCUCGAAGAGGUUGAUUCAGUUGUUGAAUAAGAACAUUCGGAGAAAUGUGUGGGAGAAUGGUUGCUUGAUUCGUUGUGAGCUUCCGAUCAAAUUGCCAGUAUAUUAUCCUCUCAAGAAUACGAGUAGUCAGUUUGCUUUGCAUGUUCUGCUGGGGUUGUAUUUUGAAAUUCACUUCAAUCAAUUCAUUAUUUUUGCAUUGCCAUGUAAUGAAGCAAUCUAGGGAUUGAAAAUUGGGGUUUGUGAGCUAGUAGCGUUAAUUGAUAAUACUUUGAUGAUGGAAGUUAUAGAGCACAGGACUUAUGUGACGAGAAGGUCGGUAAUCCUUCGAUGAAUCUUAAGGCGCUGCAAAUGGCGUACAACGAGAUCAAGAAGGGAGAGAACACGCAGCUGAUGAGGGAGGUGGCGCAGAAGAUUAAUGGGAGGUUAGGGCCCAGCUACGAGCUCGAUUCGGCGUGGUGCGACGUGGUGGAUCAUAGGGCGGAGCAGAAGAAGGAGAAGCUCGAUAACGAGCUCAAUGCGUAUAGGACAAACUUGAUCAAAGAAAGCAUAAGAAUGGGAUACAAUGAUUUUGGAGACUUCUACUAUGCUCAUGGUCAAUUGGGGGUUCUAGAUAAAUUAGUUGACUUGACUCGAUUGUUUUCUUUCUGAAACAGGUCACAUGCAUUUCUGUUCCUCUGUUCGCUCACGCAUUUGCUCAAAGGAUCCGUUUUUGAUGUUCAUUCCACUGUUUGACUCUUGUUCCCUGCACAAAUAUCUCACCUUGGAGAAGAAGAAGAUUCACCUUUUCCUGCAUUGCUCUUCCCUGUGAGCUGUAGGAGCUAGAAGAAUUGCUCACCGAGAGAAGGGGCAUCAUUGAUGCGGUUGUCAAUUCUCUUGGUAAAAGUGACCAUGGCUCGCGAAUCUUGCGUCGUGGUAGAAGGCUUGGUUGGAUUACCAAACACAAACUUUCGCGUUGGCUUCUCCUUCUUACUGCACUCUUUUCAGUUUAUUUCAGAGUUUGUGACCUGAAAAUGUUUAUUUACGAUGGUUCUAUUACAGCUAAAAUGGAAUCUAGGUUCCCAGCGACUCACAGUAUACAGGAAGGGCUCAACCUACACAGUAAACAUGAAGAGCUCAACCUACACAGUAUACACAAAGAGCUCAACCUUCAAGAAACUGUUUCAUUAUCUGAAUUUGGAAAACCACCACCUAAAAGCAAGCGCAGAAAGCGUGGUGGUGUACUUGCAUAUACACUCUUGGGAGUAACAGUUUUUAGUUUGUACCAAUUUUCUUGCAAUGGAAUGGUAAUUUUUUAUGGUUGAAAUUUGAUAGUUCAGUUAAUUAGUUGACUCACUUUUGGGUUAGUGUUUGUAACUGACAUUAGUCUAUUAUAUAGGAUUUACCGCUGUUAUCUAUUUGAGUUACUUGCACAAGUAAAUGAUGCGAGCAAAGGGUAUUCUAAGAUAAUUAGAGUAUUAUUUUAUCA